GUAGUCGUGGCCGAGUGGUUAAGGCAAUAGACUAGAAAUCCAUUGGGGUGUCCCCACGCAGGUUUGAAUCCAGCCGACUAUG
rnacentral:tRNA from 1 species